GUGGCGAUUCGUCCAGAACCUCCAGGUGUCCCCCCACAGCUGUUAGCACUGACAGAUGCCUCCUGACACCCACCCCCAACGACCUUUAAGAAGCUUCUGAGUAAUGCUGACAUCUCAGGGCUUACUGACGGUUCUUCAGGAGAAUAAGGAAAACGCGGCGCUGGUUCUUCGGUGCUGUGCCUUUUGGUCUACGUGAAGCAAUGCCCGUGGUUCGGUUACUCCAGCCCAGUGGGAAUCCCAUGUGGUAUAGCUGGUAGAGAACCUCCUGCCAAUGCAGAAGUCUCAAGGGACGCAGGCUCAGUCCCUGGGUCGGGCAGAUCCCCCGGAGGAGGGCAUGGCAACCCACUCCAGUGUUCUUGCCUGGAGAAUCCCAUGGACAGAGGAGCCUGGCGGGCUACAGUCCAUGCGGUCACACAGAGUCGGACACGACCGAGCGACUGAGCAUGCACGCACACUUGUACUGUUCCAGGACACUUCAAGGCUUGGCAGCUGAUUUUAUCCAGCCUCCCCCACCUCGUGGACAUAAAUUCGCUCUGGCUGUGUUGGUGAGUUCCCUACACACAAACUGCCAAGUUGCAAACAUUCAAAGAUGUGAACGUGUAUCUGAUUCCAGCAAGGAGCUGGAACC
ensembl:lncRNA